GACGAACGCUGGCGGCGUGCCUAAUACAUGCAAGUCGAACGCAAAACUUUCACCGAAUGCUUGCAUUCACGAAAGUUUUGAGUGGCGAACGGGUGAGUAACACGUGGGUAACCUGCCCAGAAGAGGGGGAUAACACUUGGAAACAGCUGCUAAUACUGCAUAAUAACAAAAACCGCAUGGAUUUUGUUUGAAAGAUGGUUUUGCUAUCACUUCUGGAUGGAAUCGCGGCGUAUUAGCUAGUUGGUAAGGUAAAGGCUUACCAAGGCAAUGAUACGUAGCCGAACUGCGAGGUUGAUCAGCCACAUUGGGACUGAGACCCGGCCCGAACUCCUACGGGAGGCAGCAGUAGGGAAUCUUCCACAAUGGACGAAAGUCAGAUGGAGCAACGCCGCGUGAGUGAAGAAGGUUUUCGGAUCGUAAAGCUCUGUUGUUAGAGAAGAACGUGUGUGACAGUAACUGCACAUGCAGUGAUGGUAUCUAACCAGAAAGCCACGGCUAACUACGUGCCAGCAGCCGCGGUAA
rnacentral:rRNA from 1 species